AUACGGAGGGUGCAAGCGUUAUCCGGAUUUAUUGGGUUUAAAGGGUGCGCAGGCGGACCUGUCAGUCAGUGGUGAAAUCCCGGGGCUCAACCCCGGAACUGCCAUUGAUACUACAGGUCUUGAAUACGGUUGAAGUAGGCGGAAUGUAGCAUGUAGCGGUAAAAUGCAUAGAUAUGCUACAGAACACCGAUCGCGAAGGCAGCUUACUAAGCCGAUAUUGACGCUCAGGCACGAAAGCGUGGGUAGCGAACAGGAUUAGAAACCCUAGUAGUCC
rnacentral:rRNA from 1 species